GUGGUUGUAGCUCAAUGGCAGAGCGCGAGAUUGUGGAUCUUGAGGCUGCGGGUUCGAUCCCCGUCAACCACC
rnacentral:tRNA from 1 species